rnacentral:rRNA from 1 species
UACGUAGGGUGCAAGCGUUACUCGGAAUUACUGGGCGUAAAGCGUGCGCAGGCGGUUAUGCAAGACAGAGGUGAAAUCCCCGGGCUCAACCUGGGAACUGCCUUUGUGACUGCAUGACUAGAGUACGGUAGAGGGGGAUGGAAUUCCGCGUGUAGCAGUGAAAUGCGUAGAUAUGCGGAGGAACACCGAUGGCGAAGGCAAUCCCCUGGACCUGUACUGACGCUCAUGCACGAAAGCGUGGGGAGCAAACAGG